rnacentral:rRNA from 1 species
UCCCGCCUGCCCAGUGACUCUUUAAACGGCCGCGGUAUCCUAACCGUGCAAAGGUAGCAUAAUCACUUGUCCCCUAAAUAGGGACUAGAAUGAACGGCUAAAUGAGGACAAAACUGUCUCUUACGGACCAACCAAUGAAAUUGAUCUUCCAGUACAAAAGCUGGAAUAAACCCAUAAGACGAGAAGACCCUGUGGAGCUUUAAAACCAAAACCACCAAACAUGUUUCUUGGUUUUUUAGUUGGGGCGACUUUGGAGAAAAAAUAAUCCUCCAAACUAUAAACCCAUUUAUUAAGAAUAACACAUCAAAAAUAAUUAAAUAGACCCAGCAACAUUAUAUUGUCUGACCAAUGAACCAAGUUACCCCAGGGAUAACAGCGCCAUCCUCUUCUAGAGUCCCUAUCGACAAGAGGGUUUACGACCUCGAUGUUGGAUCAGGACACCCCUAUAGUGCAGCCGCUUUAAAAGGUUCGUUUGUUCAACGAUUAAAGUCCUACGUGAU